UGUAAGAUGGCCGAGAAAUUAGGUGAAAGAUUGUAGCUCUUUUUACGGAGGAGUAGUCCUUCUCUUAUAA
rnacentral:tRNA from 1 species